UAGAGUUUGAUCCUGGCUCAGAACGAACGCUGGCGGCAGGCUUAACACAUGCAAGUCGAGCGCCCCGCAAGGGGAGCGGCAGACGGGUGAGUAACGCGUGGGAACGUACCCUUUGCUACGGAAUAGCUCCGGGAAACUGGAAUUAAUACCGUAUGUGCCCUACGGGGGAAAGAUUUAUCGGCAAAGGAUCGGCCCGCGUUGGAUUAGCUAGUUGGUGGGGUAAUGGCCUACCAAGGCGACGAUCCAUAGCUGGUCUGAGAGGAUGAUCAGCCACAUUGGGACUGAGACACGGCCCAAACUCCUACGGGAGGCAGCAGUGGGGAAUAUUGGACAAUGGGCGCAAGCCUGAUCCAGCCAUGCCGCGUGAGUGAUGAAGGCCUUAGGGUUGUAAAGCUCUUUCACCGGAGAAGAUAAUGACGGUAUCCGGAGAAGAAGCCCCGGCUAACUUCGUGCCAGCAGCCGCGGUAAUACGAAGGGGGCUAGCGUUGUUCGGAAUUACUGGGCGUAAAGCGCACGUAGGCGGGCAUUUAAGUCAGGGGUGAAAUCCCAGAGCUCAACUCUGGAACUGCCUUUGAUACUGGGUGUCUUGAGUAUGGAAGAGGUAAGUGGAAUUCCGAGUGUAGAGG
rnacentral:rRNA from 1 species